rnacentral:lncRNA from 1 species
AUGUUAUUCCCUGCUACAACAAUAUUGGUUGCAUAUCUACGUGGCUUAAAAGAAAUAAAAAUCUUGGUUUUCCAUGUAUGCAUAAUUGUAGGUGAAGAAGGCACGAAAAAAGGGAGCAACUACCAUUUACUAGUAUAAACCAAAUUCGACCGUCUUCUUCUACGCCAGAUCAACACGAAACCCCCAAAUCUCCACUAUUUUUUUAGAUCGUAUAUGCUUCAAAUCCAUUUCCACUAUACUCGCAUCCUUUCUCCAAUCUAACUAACAUAUGGAAGAUGAUAAUGAUUUGGAGCAGGUUACGGGGAGUCCUUCGUCCGGAGAGAACGAAUUUGUUCAUGUUGAGUCAGUUGAUUCUGCUCAAAUGGAUGUUAAUUCGAUUGAUCAGCACAGAAGAAUUUAGACAGAAAGGGGUGGACUUUUCUUCACAAUGAGCACAGAAGUGGGUGGUGGAGGAGAUGAUGUCAAGUAUAGUGGGUGGUGGAGGAGAUGAUGUGGAGGUGGGUAUCGGCGAUGGAGGUGGAGGUGGGUGGUGGUGGUGGAGGUGGGUGAUGGCGGCUGAUGGAGGGGGGGUUAAUAUUACAGAUUAGAACAAACCAUAAGGGGUAAUAUGAAAGGGCAACAUAGUCAUUUCACAUUCCAGUUAACAGAUCUGUUAACUUAUUUGACACUAGGGGGUAAACUUGCGACAUAACACCAAACGUUGGGGGGGUAAAAUUGCAAUUAUUUCGUUAGGGGGGUUCAGAGUGCCAAUUGGCCUAAACCCCAGGGGGUAAAAUUACAGUUUACUCUUGUUUAUGGAAUGAAGGUUAAAGGCACUGCCUUCCUGUGGCAAUAAUUGGGAUCCCCAAGACAGCUAACAAUGACAUUGGUGUAAGUUCUUUGAUCCCUUUUUGUAUCUUAUAGGUCCUUUAUAUUGGGUUAACACCACAAUUGUGUGAUAAUUUGUAGUAAUUGUGUGAUUU